CACGAACAGGGAUGUAAACAAAUUUGUGCACAUCAUUUGAGGUAAAUAACCUUUCAAGGAUCUUUAAUUUCAGCUCAUGAAACAUGGGACCAACACUUUACAUGUUGCAUUUAGAUUUCUUUCAGUAUAGAUAACCACCGACUGUAGUUACGUGUACAAUGCACAUUACCUUCCUUACAAGUAAAAAACGAGCAUAUAAUAGCAUAAUGAAUGUUGUGACCUCUUAAUUGAAAAUGUUUCUUUAUAAACAUCACAUGCCACAGAUUUAGGACCUGAAUGUAGAAAUCUUGGUCUGCUGGCCAGUGCCCAAAAUCCUUAUGUUAUAUCCCUGCAUGUCAGUACCUUUCAGACAAUCCCCCUAUCACUGUUGGUCCUCCUCAGUGACCUUAUGGCUGAAGGUUUUAACUUUCCUCUUGAGAAUUAGAAUCAGAAGUAGUUGUAUAGCUCAUUACAAUACUUCACCUCUUCUGGCAAAUAGUAACCUAGACUGUCCUGAUCAUCUAGUUGAGCAUUCCAGAUAAUUCCUUCAUCUCAGCAGAAAUGUCCCAUCCACAUAUUAGGAUUUUAGAUGUGCAGAUAGACCAAAGCCCAGUCUAUUUUACUGUUACUAUAGUCAAGUCUGUGGGUUAUGGUAUUUUAAUGUAGAUGUUAUCAUUUCAGUAAUCAAUUUAGCUAGCUGGUAAAAGUAACUUUUGCUGUCUUUCAGAUGGAUGGACCGGAAACCCAGUGACAACACUUGGGUCUGUAGCUGCCAUUUUCCGAUGGGAAAGAGAAAAGGCUCUGUAUUUACCAGAAAAGGUAGCUCAUCCACCAUGGCAGAAGAUGAAGAUCCAGACUGUUGAUUGGGGAACAAGAACAAACAAUAAGGCAUGAGGAUUGGGUGUUGAUGCAACAGGAGUGCAUCCGUCAGUCCAUCCAGUGCAUGGACAUCCCGCGCCAGUGUCAUCCGGUUGUGGAGACUACAGCAGAACAAGCCUGUAGACCGACAGACAUGAGACGUGACAUGCGGAACAUCAGGCUCGCCCCACGAGAAGCAGUGCAUGAUCAACGCCACCCUCAGCAAGGAGAUCUGCUGGAAGUUAUGUACUCUCUCACUCUGGGGGUAAGACAUCAUUUAAACAUCACAGAUAUAAAUUCCCACUGUGCCCAUGAUGAAAUGCAACUGUGAAUUGUGCUGCACUACUGAAUGAAACAGGAAAUGCACUCAGACCAGCCUUUGUGAUUGAACUUCUGUUAACUACGUUACUUUAGUUGGCUGCUUUGAGCAAAGCUUGUACAGUGCAUUCGGAAAGUAUUCAGACCCCUUCACUUUUUGUUACGUUACAGCCAUAUUCUAAAAUGGAUGAAAGUUUUUUUCCCCCUCUAUCUACACACAAUAGCCCAUAAUGACAAAGCAAAAACAGGUUUGUAUAACAUUUUGAAAUAUCACAUUUACAUA
rnacentral:lncRNA from 1 species